CCGAGGCAAUGCAUUUAGAAAAGUCGAACCAUCGGCUCCGUGUGCAGUGCUUACGGAAAAGCUCCCGAAGUCCCCGAAAAAGCUCGGGAGGGAAAGCUUGUGUCGCUUUGGCAGAUGCAACUUGGCAAGUCAAGCUGCUGCACCUACUACCUACGUUCAAAAUGGCGGCUCUGUCGGCGGAAUGCCGAUAAAUCAAAGUUCCUCAUUUUAAAAAUGCCAAGUGACCAACGCGCCAUCACACAGCAAAGGGCACAACAAUAGGGAUGGUGCUUUUCCUUGACAUUUAAGACACAUGACGGUAAGUGUCCCACUCAAUCAUCAACAAAGAAGUCGUGUUAAAGCGACUUAUCCUUUCAUGUAUACAUUUCCCUGAAAUCGCCUGCCUUUAAGGGGAUGCGAUCCGAGCCACUCAGCCACCGAAAAGUUAUUGCAACCCGAUCCUGUGUCGCUGGCUGUACAUAAAUACCAGAUACCAAAUACCAGUUCCAGUUUCCGCCGAUCGAGCCCAAGUUCAUUGGGAGUAGGGAGCGUGGAAUGGGCGAUGUCCGGCCUGACGUUUAUGAAAAGCCAUCGCAGCAUCAAAGCCAAUUAAGAUACUGGUGGACAUACAUACAAGCUCUAAAGGAAUACGCGGCUAAUUUCUGCGACAAAGCCGACAAACGAUCGAAUUCGAGUUGGGGCACAAGGAGAAGCGGCACUUUUGUCGCAAACACAGGCCGUAAAAUUAAGAACUCUGAUUGGUAACAAAUGUUUUUGUUCAUUCGAGUGAUAAAAACGUAGCGAACCGAAAAGAUAUAAAGUUCUCUUUAGUGUCUUGCCAGUGCGGCGAUGAUAAAAUAUUUAAAUGAGCGCCGAAAUGGUAAGGUUCUCGGCUUUGGCCCUGCUUGCGAUGGGAUCUGCUUGGAUCG
rnacentral:sRNA from 1 species